AUGGACGGACAGCACUGCAAUGGACGGACAGACGGACACCGCAAUGGGAUGGAUGGAUGGACGGCACUGUGAUGGACAGACGGACGGACGGACACCAUUUGGAUGGAUGGACGGACAGCACUGCAAUGGACGGACAGACGGACACCAUUGAGAUGGACGGACGUCAUUGGGAUGGAUGGACAGACGGACACCAUUGGGAUGGAUGGACGGACAGCACUGCAAUGGACGGACAGACGGACACCAUUGAGAUGGACGGACGUCAUUGGGAUGGAUGGACAGACGGACACCAUUGGGAUGGAUGGACGGACAGACGGACACCGCAAUGGGACGGAUGGACGGCAAGCACUGCAAUGGACGGACAGACGGACAUCAUUGGGAUGGAUGGACGUCAUUGGGAUGGACGGACGGACGGACACCAUUGGGAUGGAUGGACGGACAGCACUGCAAUGGACGGACGGACAGACGGACACCAUUGGGAUGGACAGACAGCACUGUGAUGGACAGACAGACGGACACCAUUGGGAUGGAUGGACGGACACCAUUUGGAUGGACGGACAUCAUUGGGACGGACGGACAGACGGACACCGCAAUGGGAUGGAUGGAUGGACAGCACUGCAAUGGAUGGACGGACAGACGGACACCAUUGGGAUGGAUGGACGGACAGCACUGCAAUGGACGGACGGACAGACGGACACCAUUGGGAUGGAUGGAUGUCAUUGGGAUGGACGGACAGACGGACACCAUUGAGAUGGACGGACAGCACUGUGAUGGACGGACAGACGGACACCAUUGGGAUGGAUGGA
rnacentral:lncRNA from 1 species